ensembl:misc_RNA Metazoa_SRP Metazoan signal recognition particle RNA
ACUGUUAGCAGCAUAGGAGUGAGGAGUUUAGAACAGCUGGUCACUAUGCCGACCGGGUUUCUGCGUUAAGUUCGGCAUCAAAACGGUGACCUGGGAGUAGAGGGGCCACCAGGUUGCCUAAGGAUGGGUGAACUGGCCCAAGUCAGAAAUGAAGCAGGUCAGAACUCCCCUGCCGGGCAGUAGUGGAACUGAGCUUAGGCAACAUAGUGCGACUUUGGUUUUCAAAAAAAAAAU